CUGAAAAUGGUCAAAAUCACUUGACAGUUUUUGAUGUGUACAUUUCAGACUCAGCUACUUACUACUGCGCAGGUAGCUAUACAUUUGGAAUGACUUUUGCCGAAGGCAUUGUUGUCAUUGUCCGGGGUUCAGGUGUGAGCGUCCCAGUGUUGGUCCAUCAGUCAGCGUCUGAGACCAUCCAGCCAGGAGGCUCUGUGACUCUGAGCUGUACAGUUCACACUGGGACCUGUGAUGGUGAACACAGUGUCUACUGGUUCAAGGACUCUGAAGAGUCUCAUCCAGGACUCAUUUACACCCACGGAGGCCGGAAUGAUCAGUGUGAGAGGAAAGCCAGCACACAGAAGACACACACCUGUGUCUACAACCUGCCGAUGAAGAGCCUGAAUCGGUCUGACGCUGGGACCUACUACUGUGCUGUUGCCUCGUGUGGACACAUGCUGUUUGGAGACGGGACCAAGCUGGACUUUGAGGAGGAAGUCCACUCUCUUGUCUUGGUGUAUUUCUUGAGUGGAGCGUUGACGUUCACCAGCAUCCUGAGUGUCUUACUGGCUGUCUCAGUGUGCAUGAUGAACAAGGGGAGCAGCUGCCCGAGCUCAGAGUUUAACACAAGAUGUCCAGCUCCCUCCGCAGAAAACGAGAUGGUGUCCACCUGCAGAACGGGUCAAGAAGACCGAAGGAUCCGACCUGGAGUGAAUGUGUGUACUACAGCGUGAAGCAGUAGAACUGGACGUACUACGUUUGUACUUUUGAGCCGGAACGGGAUUUCUCUUUUAAAGUGUAAUGUAGAUUUAUAUCUCAGUUGGAAAUAAGCGGAUUGUAUAUCUGCUUUUUGAGCCAACAUUACAUGUUUCUAUGCUUCGCUAAUGUGCAUAUUCAGGAUACUCAUUGGUGGUCUGUGUGGUCUGAAGCAGGUUAUCUUCAAACCAUGUAUCUCUAUAAUCUCUCCAAAUAAAUGUGUUUUCAUGACUUAAUCAGUAUAUUUCAAAGUUUAGAUUUACCGACUGUUUUAAAGUCACUCAAACGCUUCUAGCUUCUUACGAGCAUUGCAUGAUAAUCAAUAAACUGAUAUGGUCUGUCAUUAAUAAAUAUACAUGUCAGAAUAAUCAAGUACGGUGGUUGCCAGUUAUUUUCUAUUCUAGAGAUGGUCCUGGUUCUCUCUAUACGUUAUGGAUAUGAAUGCUGUUCUAUACAUAAUUAUGAAAUAAAAAUAUAUUUUCCA